GGACCGCCGGGUUUGUGUCUCUCCUUUAUCCUUAGCUUGCUAAGGCUUUGAGGCUCAUGUCUAGUCUAUCCUGUCCCUGCUGAGACUCCACGGAUCCUUGAGUCUCCAUGCCUCGACACCCCUGUUCUGGACUGCAUCUCCCUGCAGAAGGCGCUGGGAAAGGCCCACCAGAGUCUGGCAGCUUCUCACCUCCUCCCCAGAGAGAUGAAAUCCCUAGACUUGGCAGCUGGGCUUCCAUUUUUCCAUAGGAACAGUGGGCAUAUUUGGAAGAACAGUCAUCAGCAGGGUGGGUCAAGGGGCUUUUGCCCUGAAAGGAGGAAGAUGCCCUUUAAUCAGAGCCUAUUACAUGCCUGGUCCAGUGGUGAACAAUUUGUUCUGAUUAAUUAAAAAAAAAAAAAAA
rnacentral:lncRNA from 1 species